rnacentral:snRNA from 1 species
GGAUGUGAGGGUGAUUUGGCUGUGACAUCUCUCACACCGUUAAUCACCAGGGUUCAUUCAGCUGCCCUCUCUGGCUAUGUGGGUGUUCCUUUUCUCCCUUACCAUUCCAUGAAUGUCCCUUAUGAAGCUGUGCGCCCUAUCAAAGAAGACAAUCAUGUCCAAUAAAGGAGGAUCAUUUCCUUAGUCCAGGGUGUAUGAGUAGCCACACUCUCCUACUAGAACCUCCAAAUAAGUCCUCAAAUUAGGUUAAUGUAUCCCUGAAAGUGAACUCAUUAUUCCUUGCUGCAUAGUAGAGGCAGACCAAGACGCUGUUCUUGAAGCGUUAGGAUACAUAAGCU